ensembl:misc_RNA Metazoa_SRP Metazoan signal recognition particle RNA
GCCAGGUGUGGUGGUGUGCACCUGUAGUCCCAGCUACUUGGGAGGUGGAGGCAGGAGGAUUGCUUGAGCCCAGGAGGUUCAGGCUGCAGUGAGCCAAGAUCGCGCCACUGCACUCCAGCCUGGGCAACAGAGUGAGACCCUGUCUCUA